CCUACGGGAGGCUGCAGUGAGGAAUAUUGGUCAAUGGGCGCGAGCCUGAACCAGCCAAGUAGCGUGAGGGAAGACUGCCCUACGGGUUGUAAACUUCUUUUAUCGAGGAGUAAAGUGAGCCACGUGUGCCUUUUUGUGUGUACUUUAUGAAUAAGGAUCGGCUAACUCCGUGCCAGCAGCCGCGGUAAUACGGAGGAUCCGAGCGUUAUCCGGAUUUAUUGGGUUUAAAGGGAGCGUAGAUGGGUUGUUAAGUCAGGUGUGAAAUUUUGCGGCUCAACCUUAAAAUUGCAAUUGAUACUGGCAGCCUUGAGUAAAGUUGAGGUAGGCGGAAUUCGUGGUGUAGCGGUGAAAUGCUUAGAUAUCACGAAGAACUCCGAUUGCGAAGGCAGCUUACUAAACUGCAACUGACAUUGAUGCUCGAAAGUGUGGGUAUCAAACAGGAUUAGAUACCCGAGUAGUC
rnacentral:rRNA from 1 species